rnacentral:rRNA from 1 species
AGUGAACGCUGGCGGUAGGCCUAACACAUGCAAGUCGAACGGCAGCACAGUAAGAGCUUGCUCUUACGGGUGGCGAGUGGCGGACGGGUGAGGAAUACAUCGGAAUCUACUUUUUCGUGGGGGAUAACGUAGGGAAACUUACGCUAAUACCGCAUACGACCUACGGGUGAAAGCAGGGGAUCUUCGGACCUUGCGCGAUUGAAUGAGCCGAUGUCGGAUUAGCUAGUUGGCGGGGUAAAGGCCCACCAAGGCGACGAUCCGUAGCUGGUCUGAGAGGAUGAUGAGCCACCCUGGAACUGAGACACGGUCCAGACUCCUACGGGAGGAAGCAGUGGGGAAUAUUGGACAAUGGGCGCAAGCCUGAUCCAGCCAUACCGCGUGGGUGAAGAAGGCCUUCGGGUUGUAAAGCCCUUUUGUUGGGAAAGAAAAGCAGCAGGUUAAUACCCCGCUGUUCUGACGGUACCCAAAGAAUAAGCACCGGCUAACUUCGUG